rnacentral:tRNA from 1 species
GAAUAAAUAUUAUGCAUAAUUGGUAGUGCACAGUGCUUAUAACGCUGGGGUUGUGGGUUCGAGCCACACUUAUCGCG